rnacentral:rRNA from 1 species
AGAGUUUGAUCCUGGCUCAGGACGAACGCUGGCGGCGCGCCUAACACAUGCAAGUCGAACGAGCGAGAGAGAGCUUGCUUUCUCAAGCGAGUGGCGAACGGGUGAGUAACGCGUGAGGAACCUGCCUCAAAGAGGGGGACAACAGUUGGAAACGACUGCUAAUACCGCAUAAGCCCACGGCUCGGCAUCGAGCAGAGGGAAAAGGAGCAAUCCGCUUUGAGAUGGCCUCGCGUCCGAUUAGCUGGUUGGUGAGGUAAUGGCCCACCAAGGCGACGAUCGGUAGCCGGACUGAGAGGUUGAACGGCCACAUUGGGACUGAGACACGGCCCAGACUCCUACGGGAGGCAGCAGUGGGGAAUAUUGCACAAUGGGGGAAACCCUGAUGCAGCGACGCCGCGUGGAGGAAGAAGGUCUUCGGAUUGUAAACUCCUGUUGUUGAGGAAGAUAAUGACGGUACUCAACAAGGAAGUGACGGCUAACUACGUGCCAGCAGCCGCGGUAAAACGUAGGUCACAAGCGUUGUCCGGAAUUACUGGGUGUAAAGGGAGCGCAGGCGGGAAGACAAGUUGGAAGUGAAAUCCAUGGGCUCAACCCAUGAACUGCUUUCAAAACUGUUUUUCUUGAGUAGUGCAGAGGUAGGCGGAAUUCCCGGUGUAGCGGUGGAAUGCGUAGAUAUCGGGAGGAACACCAGUGGCGAAGGCGGCCUACUGGGCACCAACUGACGCUGAGGCUCGAAAGUGUGGGUAGCAAACAGGAUUAGAUACCCUGGUAGUCCACACUGUAAACGAUGAUUACUAGGGGUUGGAGGGAUUGACCCCUUCAGUGCCGCAGUUAACACAAUAAGUAAUCCACCUGGGGAGUACGACCGCAAGGUUGAAACUCAAAGGAAUUGACGGGGGCCCGCACAAGCAGUGGAGUAUGUGGUUUAAUUCGACGCAACGCGAAGAACCUUACCAAGUCUUGACAUCCUGCGACGGUGCUGGAAACAGUACUUUCCUUCGGGACGCAGAGACAGGUGGUGCAUGGUUGUCGUCAGCUCGUGUCGUGAGAUGUUGGGUUAAGUCCCGCAACGAGCGCAACCCUUAUGGUCAGUUACUACGCAAGAGGACUCUGGCCAGACUGCCGUUGACAAAACGGAGGAAGGUGGGGAUGACGUCAAAUCAUCAUGCCCUUUAUGACUUGGGCUACACACGUACUACAAUGGCGUUAAACAAAGAGAAGCAAGACCGCGAGGUGGAGCAAAACUCAGAAACAACGUCCCAGUUCGGACUGCAGGCUGCAACUCGCCUGCACGAAGUCGGAAUUGCUAGUAAUCGCAGAUCAGCAUGCUGCGGUGAAUACGUUCCCGGGCCUUGCACUCACCGCCCGUCA